ACAGAAUGAGUUGAAAUAAUUAAAAUCUUACAUCUAGAACAAUAUGUACAUAUGUACGUGGAUGUGUGUUGGACCACAUAUUUUAUACCAACUCUUGAAAUAAGAGUUAAUAAUUUAAAAUUAUUGAUAAACUAUUCAAAUUUUAAGAUCCAAACAGUUGGACAUGAUCUAUACUACAAAAAAUAUCUAAUGUUGGGAUAAAUCAAUCGGCCCCCGACUCAAGUCAAUCAACCUCGACUUCGCUUCAAG
rnacentral:lncRNA from 1 species